rnacentral:rRNA from 1 species
GACGAACGCUGGCGGCGUGCUUAACACAUGCAAGUCGAACGGAAAGGCCCUGCUUUUGUGGGGUGCUCGAGUGGCGAACGGGUGAGUAACACGUGAGUAACCUGCCCUUGACUUUGGGAUAACUUCAGGAAACUGGGGCUAAUACCGGCUAGGAGCUCCUGCUGCAUGGUGGGGGUUGGAAAGUUUCGGCGGUUGGGGAUGGACUCGCGGCUUAUCAGCUUGUUGGUGGGGUAGUGGCUUACCAAGGCUUUGACGGGUAGCCGGCCUGAGAGGGUGACCGGCCACAUUGGGACUGAGAUAGGGCCCAGACGCCUACGGGAGGCAGCAGUGGGGAAGAUUGCACAAUGGGCGGAAGCCGGAUGCAGCAACGCCGCGUGCGGGAUGACGGCCCACGGGUGGUAAACCGCUUUCGCCUGUGACGAAGCGUGAGUGACGGUAAUGGGUAAAGAAGCACCGGCUAACUACGUG